CUUGUUAGUUGCCAUCAUUCAGUUGGGCACUCUAGCGAGACUGCCGGUAAUAAACCGGAGGAAGGUGGGGAUGACGUCAAAUCAUCAUGCCCCUUAUGACCUGGGCUACACACGUGCUACAAUGGUUGGUACAACGAGUUGCGAGUCGGUGACGGCGAGCUAAUCUCUUAAAGCCAAUCUCAGUUCGGAUUGUAGGCUGCAACUCGCCUACAUGAAGUCGGAAUCGCUAGUAAUCGCGGAUCAGCACGCCGCGGUGAAUACGUUCCCGGGCCUU
rnacentral:rRNA from 1 species